rnacentral:ncRNA from 1 species
UAUCAGGGGUGCUGACAGCAGUCGGCUGAGAUGACGGUAUGUUCGUCGAACCCUUAAACCUGAUGCGGAUAAUGCCGCCGUAGGAAGUGUGAAUAUUCA